CAGUGGGGAAUAUUGCACAAUGGGCGCAAGCCUGAUGCAGCCAUGCCGCGUGUAUGAAGAAGGCCUUCGGGUUGUAAAGUACUUUCAGCAGUGAGGAAGGUGGUGCAGUUAAUAGCUGUAUCAUUUGACGUUAGCUGCAGAAGAAGCACCGGCUAACUCCGUGCCAGCAGCCGCGGUAAUACGGAGGGUGCGAGCGUUAAUCGGAAUUACUGGGCGUAAAAGCGCAUGCAGGUGGUUUGUUAAGUCAGAUGUGAAAGCCCGGGGCUCAACCUCGGAAUUGCAUUUGAAACUGGCAGACUAGAGUACUGUAGAGGGGGGUAGAAUUUCAGGUGUAGCGGUGAAAAUGCGUAGAGAUCUGAAGGAAUACCGGUGGCGAAGGCGGCCCCCUGGACAGAUACUGACACUCAGAUGCGAAAGCGUGGGGAGCAAACAGGAUUAGAUACCCUGGUAG
rnacentral:rRNA from 1 species